AACUUUUAACAAUGGAUCUCUAGGCUCUCACAUCGAUGAAGAACACAGUGAAAUGUGAUAAGUAAUGUGAAUUGCAGAAUUCAGUGAAUCAUUGAAUCUUUGAAUGCACCUUGCACCUUUUGGUAUUCCAAGAGGUACACCUGUUUGAGUGUCAU
rnacentral:rRNA from 1 species